UACGGAGGGAGCUAGCGUUGUUCGGAAUUACUGGGCGUAAAGCGCACGUAGGCGGCUUUGUAAGUUAGAGGUGAAAGCCCGGGGCUCAACUCCGGAAUUGCCUUUAAGACUGCAUCGCUAGAAUUGUGGAGAGGUAAGUGGAAUUCCGAGUGUAGAGGUGAAAUUCGUAGAUAUUCGGAAGAACACCAGUGGCGAAGGCGACUUACUGGACACGUAUUGACGCUGAGGUACGAAAGCGUGGGGAGCAAACAGG
rnacentral:rRNA from 1 species